AAUACCGCAUAAGCGCACAGAGCCGCAUGGCUCAGUGUGAAAAACUCCGGUGGUGUAAGAUGGAUCCGCGUCUGAUUAGCUGGUUGGCGGGGUAGAAGCCCACCAAGGCGACGAUCAGUAGCCGGCCUGAGAGGGUGAACGGCCACAUUGGGACUGAGACACGGCCCAAACUCCUACGGGAGGCAGCAGUGGGGAAUAUUGCACAAUGGGGGAAACCCUGAUGCAGCAACGCCGCGUGAGUGAAGAAGUCAUUCGUGAUGUAAAGCUCUAUCAGCAGGGAAGAAAAUGACGGUACCUGAGUAAGAAGCCCCGGCUAACUACGUGCCAGCAGCCGCGGUAAUACGUAGGGGGCAAGCGUUAUCCGGAUUUACUGGGUGUAAAGGGAGCGUAGACGGCCAGACAAGUCUGAAGUGAAAAUCCAGCGCUUAACGUUGGAAGUGCUUUGGAAACUGCCGGGCUAGAGUGCAGGAGGGGCAGGCGGAAUUCCUAGUGUAGCGGUGAAAUGCGUAGAUAUUAGGAGGAACACCAGUGGCGAAGGCGGCCUGCUGGACUGCAACUGACGUUGAGGCUCGAAGGCGUGGGGAGCAAACAGGAUUAGAUACCCUGGUAGUCCACGCGGUAAACGAUGAUUACUAGGUGUCGGGGGGCUAGAGCCCUUCGGUGCCGUCGC
rnacentral:rRNA from 1 species